CUGAGCAGAAUGUUCUUAAUAACAUCAAUGAGUUCUACAAGGACAAGAUUAGAUCAUUGAACUUGGACCUGGACAAAGAAAGAGAGAAAAUCUACAAGCUUAGAUGGAAACAUGACGCAAUUGUAAAGCGAAAUGCACAACUGAAACAGACAGAGAUUGAAUUAAACAAGGAUUUUGAGAAUUUAUUAAAUGAAAAAUCUAAACAACUAAAGUGGCGUCAAACAGAAAACAGAGAGCUUAAGAAAGAAAUUGAGGCAUUAAAACUAAAGACGGAAAAUAUACAAUCCAGGGUGGCACAAGAAUCCAAGGAGGUCCCCCAUAUUGAAAACAAAAUCCCAGAAGAGACGCCAACAUUCCUGCAACGAGUUGGACGUACCUUCAUUCACAUGUACCAAUCAGGAACGUUAAGAUACUGGGUGCCACCCUGGAUUUUUUAAUGUCUGAAGAGGAACUUUGUAAUAACUUUAAGAUUUUGCAGUGUGAUUUUCUUUUGAGGUAUUGAAGUUUUCACUUGCUGUAAGUUAUGUUUUCCAUUUUCAGUGAGCAGCACCACUGCUUCUUUCUUCUAAGGUUGUUUCACCAGUUUUCUCCUUACAGUGUUCUUGGCAUUAACCAUUCAGCAGUCAUCCUCUAAGGUAACGGCAUCUCAACGUGCUUUGCACUCGUGAUGCGAGUACAGAAACGAAUUUGGUGGUUGGAGUAAACCUGCUACUGUUAUGCCUCUAACAAAGGUCAUUCCAGGGUUAAGCUAUUGAGAAAUGAGGCAUCAGCAGCACUUCAUUAUGGAGUCCAACUUUCACAUCCUGCAAUGUCAGCUUAACUUCUAAAAAGACGCAAUGUUGCCUUUAAUUUUAAGAAUUUUUACACAUGGACUACGCUACACAGUCCAUGUGUAGCGUAGCCGACACGGAGAGCGAGAAAAAGAGAUCCCAAUCUGAUCUAAAAUAACAACGACUAUAAGGAAUCGGUAGUUUAUUUCCCCAGUGUUUUACCUACCAUUGGUAAAACAGAAGCCCGAGAGAAUCCUGACGGAUUAAGUCACAGGUGUCGGACUCACUGACUACUUGACAGACGGGUCAAAGAUCGAGAAACUGAAGGGAUGUUCACAGUCAUCAGUAUUCCUCAAAUUUAAAUUGUGACCCCAAAUCUUGUCUUUUGCAGAAAAUAAAGUUGUGGGGAGUCAUAAUGACGUGGAAGCUGAAAGUAGAUAACUUGUCUGCUUUUGUGGCAGGAAAGAGGAACACUGAAAACGCAUGUUUGCAUUUUUUUCCUGUAUCGUGUUUAGACAUUAAGAAAAGAAGACGCUCUAUGUGAAAGGAGUAGUACACUAAUAAAGCAAACUGGUUGGAUUUAGAGUUUAUUUUUGAUUUGGUGGCCUGGUUGGUGGCUUUGGUUUUGAUUUUAGAGUGUAGAUGUUACAGUAUUGUAGAGGAGUAAGGGAGUAUUUCAGUUUUUGAUGUUGGUUGACCCAAUCUUUGUUCAAGAUUGUAUUUUGACUAGAAAGUUGAGAUUUUAGGAUCAGUGUGAGAAUCUGCUAGGUUUUUGUUCAAUUGUGGUUUUUGGUUUUGUGAAUAAAUGGAAUUGGUUUUUAGUGCAAUGUGAGUAGGUUUUGGACAUGUUACUGUGAAAUAUUGCAUCUGCUACCCGAAUAUUGAACUGUUAGCAUGCGAUGAUGGUCAUGAGGCUGUCAUAUAGCAACAGUCUUUAAAUAUGUGUCAAACUCAAGGCCCAGGGGCCAAAUCCGGUCCGCCGCAACUUUUAAUGUGGCCAAGUUGUGUGCUCUAAUAUUAUUUUAUCAAUCAAAUAAAAUCAGAUUUUACUUGUUUACUGUCAAGUUACAUCAAUAAGUCCCUCCAGUUGUUAAUGAAUUCAGGAAAUUUAUGUUAAAUCAGGAGAUCGGCGAAUUUUUUCCUGCAAAUAUUCCACAAAAAUGGUCAAAAACGUAAAGUUUAAGUGAUGCUAACUCCACUGCUUCCCACCUGCAAGUGGCAGUAUUUCCUACUUCUACUACAUUGCUGCCUCAUUAGUCUGUCAAGUUUUCUGUAAUUCCACAAUCGCAGAAAUUCACCUCAAAUGAACAGAUUCUUACAAUUUUUGUGCAAAUCUUCCUCAAAAAUGGUGGCAGUAUUUCUUACUUCUACUACACUGCUGUACUUGAAGUCAAGUUAUCGUCUGUAAUCGACAUGGAGAGUUACAAAAAUUACAUUUGCCAUCUUGCAAAAGUACAAAUAUUGCUAAAUCUUUUGCAAAUAUUUCUAAAUUUGUGACAUGGAUUGUGAAAAACAUUACAAAAUCAAUCCUGAAAUCAUUGAAGGUCUGAUUAAUGUGGAAAUAUGUUCAAAAUUAUUUAAUUUUAAGGACUUAUUGAAAGCAGACAGAACGCAUAGUCAACGAGUUUGUGUAAGUGUAAACGCAACAUUCACACUCGAGUGAAAAUGGCUGAAAACAGAUGCGUAAUUAAAUAGUACAUCUUUGAAAAGCAGACAGGGAUCCUCCUGCACAACCAACAAGAAUGCAGCAAGUGGUUUCUGGAUGGUAAGUAAACAACAAAACACUUGUCAUUUCCAGCAGCCAUUGUGCAGCUGACAAAACAUUCUUUAGCUAGCAACCCAAGCCGAGUUAAAGUGGCUGGGCUUUGCUGGGGUUGCUAGGCAACGGCAGUGCCAAUUGAGUGUGUCUUAAAAAUUGUGAGGUUUUAAAUUGGCUCAUUUUCAAGGCACCAAAAGACAUGAACUUGUUGGCAAAAAACAGCUGGGUAGGUUUUUUAAGUGCCUUGUUUGUUUUUAGAAGCAACAGAAACACAAAUGUAAGAACAAAACGAGCAAAAUGUAAAUUUUGAGUCACAGGUCUCCUUUAAUAAAUUUAAGUGGACUUAGCGAAAGACUCCAUUUCUUCACUGGACUACCUGAAAGCUGCCACUUUCCCUCCUAAAGCUUUAAAACUCCCACAGUGACAUUUAGCAGAAGGUUAAUUACAGGCCAGCUGAUUCUUCAGGGUUAAAAACGAGGCCUUUCAACAGCACAACACCGUAAGACUAAUCAGGAACCCUGCAGCCUAAUGAGCUGAUCCCAUACAGCAAAGGUCCCUGAACGCAUCGUCAGCCCGUCCUGAGGUGUGUCAGGUUAACACCACAGCGGCCAGCGUGUGGGCGGGCGGCGUGUAGGAAGCUUCUGAGGACAUCAUCACAACAUCUACGUCUUGGUUUUUAAAGCAAUAAGAAGCUAAAAACUCUCCCAGCUCACCUAAUAAAUCUAUUCACCACUCAAGUAUACCAGUUAUGAAUAUUUCAAGGUAAACAAUCAAAGAAAAAAUUCUAUUUUCUAACCAAUUUAAAGGUAAAAUGCUAUUUCCUCUGAGUUGCUGAAAGUAAAAUGUUUUAAUUUAGUUGAAUUCUUGUUCAACAUUUAACAGAAAAUAAAACAUUUCUUCACUUCUUUC